rnacentral:rRNA from 1 species
GCAAGUCGAGCGAGAAGCUUAUGACGAAUCCUUCGGGUGACAGAAUGAGUGGAAAGCGGCGGACGGGUGAGUAACGCGUGAGUAACCUACCCUAUACACAAGGAUAGCCAUUGGAAACGAUGAUUAAUACUUGAUAAGACUACAGAGCCGCAUGGUUCAGUGGUAAAAGCUCCGGCGGUAUAGGAUGGACUCGCGUAUCAUUAGCUAGUUGGUGAGGUAACGGCUCACCAAGGCUACGAUGAUUAGCCGGCCUGAGAGGGUGAAC